rnacentral:rRNA from 1 species
UACGGAGGGUGCGAGCGUUGUCCGGAAUCAUUGGGCGUAAAGGGCGCGUAGGUGGCGGGACAAGCGUGCGGUGAAAGCUCGGGGCUCAACCCCGAGUCGGCCGUGCGAACUGUCUGCUUGAGCACUGUAGAGGCAGGCGGAAUUCCGGGUGUAGCGGUGGAAUGCGUAGAGAUCCGGAAGAACACCGGUGGCGAGGCGGC